AUCUUCAACUCGUAUCAAUUUCAGGGUGGGAAAGUGCACCUGAAGACUUCAUUGUCCAUCCAAAGUUUGAGGUACCUAUACAGAAAUGGGUAUGGGCUCAUAUUUUAACUCUUUCUGUACAGUUCCCUACGGCAAAGUUUUUACCCACACCUAGUGGGAUUGAAAGCUUGUCCCAGACCCUUUUAUUCAUGAAAAUGCCCGGGUGGGAAAGUGCACCAGAAGCUGACAACCCCAUACCCAAUUUCUCAAUUUUGUCCAUUACGGGUGGUGGCAGCAGUGGCUUUACUGCCACCCCCCUACGGCAAAGUUCUUGACCGCAGGUGGUUAGAUUGAUAGCUUUCAUCCAUAUCUUCAACUCGUAUCAAUUUCAGGGUGGGAAAGUGCACCUGAAGACUUCAUUGUCCAUCCAAAGUUUGAGGUACCUAUACAGAAAUGGGUAUGGGCUCAUAUUUUAACUCUUUCUGUACAGUUCCCUACGGCAAAGUUUUUACCCACACCUAGUGGGAUU
rnacentral:lncRNA from 1 species